AGAGUUUGAUCCUGGCUCAGAUUGAACGCUGGCGGCAGGCCUAACACAUGCAAGUCGAGCGGAUGAAGAGAGCUUGCUCUCUGAUUCAGCGGCGGACGGGUGAGUAAUGCCUAGGAAUCUGCCUGGUAGUGGGGGACAACGUUUCGAAAGGAACGCUAAUACCGCAUACGUCCUACGGGAGAAAGCAGGGGACCUUCGGGCCUUGCGCUAUCAGAUGAGCCUAGGUCGGAUUAGCUAGUAGGUGAGGUAAUGGCUCACCUAGGCGACGAUCCGUAACUGGUCUGAGAGGAUGAUCAGUCACACUGGAACUGAGACACGGUCCAGACUCCUACGGGAGGCAGCAGUGGGGAAUAUUGGACAAUGGGCGAAAGCCUGAUCCAGCCAUGCCGCGUGUGUGAAGAAGGUCUUCGGAUUGUAAAGCACUUUAAGUUAGGAGGAAGGGCAGUAAGUUAAUACCUUGCUGUUUUGACGUUACCAACAGAAUAAGCACCGGCUAACUUCGUGCCAGCAGCCGCGGUAAUACGAAGGGUGCAAGCGUUAAUCGGAAUUACUGGGCGUAAAGCGCGCGUAGGUGGUUCAGCAAGUUGGAGGUGAAAUCCCCGGGCUCAACCUGGGAACUGCCUCCAAAACUAUUGAGCUAGAGUACGGUAGAGGGUAGUGGAAUUUCCUGUGUAGCGGUGAAAUGCGUAGAUAUAGGAAGGAACACCAGUGGCGAAGGCGACUACCUGGACUGAUACUGACACUGAGGUGCGAAAGCGUGGGGAGCAAACAGGAAAAGAUACCCUGGUAGUCCACGCCGUAAACG
rnacentral:rRNA from 1 species